CUACCAUCAACACUACCAGCACCACUCAUACCUCCACCAUCAGCAUUUUCAUUAGCAUUAAUCAACCAAGUGAGAGUGUACAAAAACGCCACAAAUCUGCAUUACUGAGGGAAGAAACAGAAUAAGAAAGUACUAGGGCAAACUGUAUGUCACCUGGUGCUGUAACUAAUUCUGCACAGUUUUCACCUCCUACCACCAGAUAUUAUCCAGCUAGGGGAGACAAGAAUGAUACAACAUAGUGCAACACUGUGUAACCCAAUAUGGUGUAUAAUUAGGUGCCAAUUGGCCACUCACACUUUGGAGCCAAAGUGUCGUUUCUAGAUUUUAUUGACAUAGGUCUCAUUCAUGUAAAAUAGAUAAAGUGCAGCCACUUUUUCUGCCC